GGUUGCGAUCAUACCAGCACUAAUGCACCGUAUCCCAUCAGAACUCCGCAGAUAAGCGUGCUUGGGCGAGAGUAGUACUAGGAUGGGUGACCCCCUGGGAAGUCCUCGUGUUGCAACCC
rnacentral:rRNA from 1 species